rnacentral:misc_RNA from 1 species
GAUGAAGAACGUAGCGAAAUGCGAUAAGUAAUGUGAAUUGCAGAAUUCAGUGAAUCAUCGAAUCUUUGAACGCACAUUGCGCCCUCUGGUAUUCCGGGGGGCAUGCCUGUUCGAGCGUCAUUAUAACCACUCAAGCUCUCGCUUGGUAUCGGGGUUCGCGGUUCCGCGGCCCCUAAAAUCAGUGGCGGUGCCUGUCGGCUCUACGCGUAGUAAUACUCCUCGCGAUUGAGUCCGGUAGGUCUACUUGCCAGCAACCCCCAAUUUUUACAGGUUGACCUCGGAUCAGGUAGGGAUACCCGCUGAACUUAAGCAUAUCAAUAAGCGGAGGA